GUGGGGAAUUUUGGACAAUGGGCGCAAGCCUGAUCCAGCAAUGCCGCGUGCAGGAAGAAGGCCUUCGGGUUGUAAACUGCUUUUGUACGGAACGAAACGGUCCGGGUUAAUACCCUGGGCUAAUGACGGUACCGUAAGAAUAAGCACCGGCUAACUACGUGCCAGCAGCCGCGGUAAUACGUAGGGUGCAAGCGUUAAUCGGAAUUACUGGGCGUAAAGCGUGCGCAGGCGGUUUUGUAAGACAGGCGUGAAAUCCCCGGGCUCAACCUGGGAAUUGCGCUUGUGACUGCAAGGCUGGAGUGCGGCAGAGGGGGAUGGAAUUCCGCGUGUAGCAGUGAAAUGCGUAGAUAUGCGGAGGAACACCGAUGGCGAAGGCAAUCCCCUGGGCCUGCACUGACGCUCAUGCACGAAAGCGUGGGGAGCAAACAGGAUUAGAAACCCGGGUAGUUC
rnacentral:rRNA from 1 species